rnacentral:lncRNA from 1 species
CAUUUAUUUAGUCCCUUCCUUCGGCUGUGUCUCUAAGGCAGCAUUUUGUGUUGACAGUUCAUAAAUACGGUGUAUAGGCCAAAAGUGCAGAUAUGAGAAACUCUCAAAGUGUUGCUCAGUCUUCUUUUGACAUGUUCCUGUGCUGUUCUUCCUACAGCAAUACUAAAAGAAUGGGUUUGUGAAGGAAGAUGAGAUCUGAUCAGGCUGCAAAGAAAAGGGAAACCUGAAGAACAAGUAAAUUUACAUUUAUUCACUUAGCAGGUACUUUUCUCUAAAGCGACUUAAAAUGGACAUUAUGUAGUGUUAUCAGCCCACACACCUUAUUUGCCAAGGUGACUUUACACUGGGUCACUCAUCCAUACAUCAGUGAAACACACUCUCUCUGUGACACUCACACACUAUGGAGGAAGCUGGACAACAUGUCUUUGGACUGUGGGAGGAACCCCACACAGAGAAUGUGCAAACCCCACACAGACUGAGCAGGGAUCAAACCCACACUCUCUUGCACCACCCAGACGCUGUGAGACAGCAGCGCUACUUGCUGUGCCACCCCAAGUACAAGGAGCUGAAAUACGGCCAGGCUGGCAGGGCUCUCAAGAGAUCACUUCGACACCAUUGUAGGGUUUCACCUUAUGAAUGAUCCUAGGGGACACAGCGGCAGCGCCCGCUGUUUUACAUUUCCUUUUGUAGGCCUUUGGAAUAUUCCCAGUGACUCAUCUUAUAACAAAGUUGUUAAUCCACUCAUGUUCUGAGGAUGGUCAUUGAAACAUCUUUAUUUAAAGGCGAUAUUUCCAUAUAAACAUUAUAAUGUAUGGAAGCCCAUACCAUACCCCACCACCAAAUCAUACAAUAAUUUUAAUGUAUUCAAUUUAUUGUGCUUGCUUAAAAAUUGCAUUGUAAUAUACCAGAUAUUGCGAUUUAUUAAAAUAUUCUGAAUAUAUACUGUAUUUUUAUUUUACAGAUUUUACAAUUGUUGCUUGUUUAUAUAUGCUUCUUUUUGGAUUGUGUACUUAAGUUUCAUCAGUAAAUUUCAGCUCCAGUUUUAUACUUUUUGUGAUACAGGUUUAAAAUUAAUUGGUAAAUUGUCUGUGAGAAUAAAAAUAUUUAUGAGACAAUGUUAUCUUUAGAG